rnacentral:rRNA from 1 species
UACAGAGGGGGCAAGCGUUAUUCGGAAUUAUUGGGCGUAAAGGGCGCGUAGGCGGCUUGGCAAGUGGAUGGUGAAAUCCCUCGGCUUAACCGAGGAACUGCCGUCCAAACUGCUUUGCUUGAGACCGGGAGAGGUGAGUGGAAUUCCCAGUGUAGCGGUGAAAUGCGUAGAUAUUGGGAGGAACACCAGUGGCGAAGGCGGCUCACUGGACCGGUACUGACGCUGAGGCGCGAAAGCUAGGGGAGCGAACGGG